AGAAGGGAAAAGGAGAAUGGGCGUGAAUGGAGCACGCCGGUGGAAGUUUCGUGCGCGCGUCAAGUGCAGGCAGGCCCAGCCUGCUGGUUGCUCCCGGUGCAACGACCUUGAGAAUUCGGCCUCGGGUGUGAACGUUUCGAAGCCGGCUUCCUGCGGGCGUGCACACGUUCCUUCGAGCGGGGCACACGCGCGCGCGCGCGCGAUUUCAUGAAAACGAUCGUUAGCGCGGCAACGGCGCGUAACGAUGACGUCAGAAGCGACGUGAACAGUCGCGGCCUGCGCUCGACAAACCUGAAAGGUAUUAUUUUUCACGCCACUUCCCACACACGCGCGCACGCAUACAACACCGGUUGAUCGCAUACACCGGGGCGAUCUCUGGCCCCGGAUGAACUUGGAGGGGAGCAGCGGUUUUAUCGGUUCGCGUUGAAAGAAGAAUCGGGUCCAGUGUUCGUUAUCGUCCGGUUACGGAGAAGGAGCUUGGACACCUCGCAGUCUCAGUGUAUCGAAAGAACGCGAAGCGGUUGUUCGCCACUGCACACAAUCAGGAGACGAUUAAUUGGCUGGCGCGCAAGGAGCAUUCCAAGAGGUCCAUUAAAAAUCGUUGCCUGACGCGAAUCGAAGCAACGAUACCGGGUCUAUAAGUGCAUUGCCGCCACAGCAGUGGACAAAAGUGAAGAAGAGAGGGAUAAGGAUAAGAGGAAGAAAAGGAAGAAGAGAAAAAGGCACAACUCGCAUAACGAAGCGAAGUUUAAAUCUAAAAUUAAGUCGGUGCUCCUGACCUGGGUUCCGAUCGCGUAUAACUCAGUGUCAAAAUGCGAGUCAAAUUUCGAACGCGUGCCCACGGAAUGCUUUCCGUGGCGCCACUCUAACGGCCGUCCACGUUUCCUCUCGACGAACCGGUCGUGCCACGAUGCCAUUGGUCAUUUCCUUACACUUGCACUUGAUCAGGUCCUUUUGCUUCCUGUUUCAUCUUAUUUGUUCGUUUUAGAUUUUCUCGCAUAUAUAUAUAUAAAAGAGAAAAAGAAAAUAAUACAAAACAUUCGAGGAUAUAAUUGAUCGAGCGAUUAAAUAGAGUUUCGACGUAAUUAUAUUUCCCUCUCAGUCAGUAUUUUUUUUUUUUUUUGUUUAAAUUUAGUGUCAAUACAAGGGUAUAAAUAUUAACGGUGCACAAAUAAUGCGUAAAAACUUUGUAACGAUGGAAUGGCAAUUACAUAAACUUGAUGGGAUACGAGUAGUUUCGUGUACAAUUUUUCGUUAAGUAGUUAAUGGGUGUUCAGUUUCAUGUACGUAAGCGGCUUCCACAUUUGCCCAUAAAUACAGUGGAAUCUCGAUUAAACUGGUUAAUCGAGACCUAAAAGAUAAUUAGACUCGGAGAGAAAUUAUUGAAAUUGUAUUUUUAUAUGUGAAGAUACAUUUUUACCUCUUUUUUGUAAUAUGUAUAAUUACUGGCCAGACAUUUCCACUUAUUCAUUAUCCUAUCGAUUUAUGAAUCAAGAUCGUAAGAAAGAAAUUCGAUGAGUCUGUUAUUAAGAUUUUCAAUCACAAGUGAAUUAUUUGUAUCCGUGUUUCGAGAGAUAUUUCCACGUCGAAGGAACAAUUAAUUUUUUUUCUUUCUUAAGAAAUUUAUACCUCAUAAUAUUUAAAUUUUAAAUUUAAAGAUAUCUCGAAAUUGAAGAAAAGGUGACUUAAUAGCCAAUUUAAUCGAGAUAUAAUUUAUCCUAUAAAAAUUAUAAUAUCUUAUCAAAAUUUUUUCACUUUAUAUCGUAAUGAUAUUGCACAUAAAUAAAUUUUAUCGAAGAAUUGUAACCU